GACGAACGCUGGCGGCGUGCUUAACACAUGCAAGUCGAACGGAAAGGCCCUGCUUUUGUGGGGUGCUCGAGUGGCGAACGGGUGAGUAACACGUGAGUAACCUGCCCUUGACUUUGGGAUAACUUCAGGAAACUAGGGCUAAUACCGUAUAGCAUCUCCUGCUGCAUGGUGGGGGUUGGAAAGUUUCGGCGGGUGGGGAUGAACGCGCGGCUUAUCAGCUUGUUGGUUGGGUAGUGGCUUACCAAGGCUUUGACGGGUAGCCGGCCUGAGAGGGUGACCGGCCACAUUGGGACUGAGAUACGGCCCAGACUCCUACGGGAGGCAGAAGUGGGGAAUAUUGCACAAUGGGCGGAAGCCUGAUGCAGCAACGCCGCGUGCGGGAUGACGGUCUUCGGGUUGUAAACCGCUUUCGCCUGUGACGAAGCGUGAGUGACGGUAAUGGGUAAAGAAGCACCGGCUAACUACGUG
rnacentral:rRNA from 1 species